rnacentral:lncRNA from 1 species
CUGACUGUGACGACGCGGGUGGGGAGAGACUGUGCACCUACACGUGUCACUUCACAAAGGCCUCCAGGGGCUUAUGAUCAGGCAAAGGAGACACCAGGAAAGAGGAGCAGAGUGGCUAGGGCAGUGCACUGCAGAUGCAUGGACGAAAGCUCGCAGCGACACAGGUAUGGGGUGUCUAAUCAGGGAUGAGUGUGAGCAGCAGAAUGAGGAGCAUGCUUUCCCAGAGGAAGAGAGGAAGCCACUGGAGAGAUGAAGGAUGCCAUGGACAGGUA